rnacentral:rRNA from 1 species
AUUGAACGCUGGCGGCAUGCUUUACACAUGCAAGUCGAACGGUAACAGGUUAAGCUGACGAGUGGCGAACGGGUGAGUAAUGCAUCGGAACGUGCCCGACCGUGGGGGAUAACGCAGCGAAAGCUGCGCUAAUACCGCAUACGAUCUGAGGAUGAAAGCGGGGGACCGUAAGGCCUCGCGCGAUCGGAGCGGCCGAUGUCAGAUUAGGUAGUUGGUGGGGUAAAGGCUCACCAAGCCAACGAUCUGUAGCUGGUCUGAGAGGACGACCAGCCACACUGGGACUGAGACACGGUCCAGACUCCUACGGGAGGCAGCAGUGGGGAAUAUUGCACAAUGGGCGCAAGCCUGAUGCAGCCAUGCCGCGUGUAUGAAGAAGGCCUUCGGGUUGUAAAGUACUUUCAGCGGGGAGGAAGGCGGUGAAGUUAAUAACUUCACCGAUUGACGUUACCCGCAGAAGAAGCACCGGCUAACUCCGUGCCAGCCGCCGCAGUAA